UACAGAGGGUGCAAGCGUUGUCCGGAAUCACUGGGCGUAAAGGGCGCGUAGGCGGCCAGCACAAGUCAGUUGUGAAAUCUCCGGGCUUAACUCGGAAAGGUCAACUGAUACUGUGCGACUAGAGUGCGGAAGGGGCAACUGGAAUUCUCGGUGUAGCGGUGAAAUGCGUAGAUAUCGAGAGGAACACCUGCGGCGAAGGCGGGUUGCUGGGCCGACACUGACGCUGAUGCGCGAAAGCCAGGGGAGCGAACGGG
rnacentral:rRNA from 1 species